rnacentral:lncRNA from 1 species
ACAAAAUCUGUCCUCUAACAAAAGAACGGACGUCCUGCACUGAGAAAUCAUGCCGUGUUUUGACAAUUUUAUUGUGCAUCUUGUAGAAGAAGGAGCAGCUGAGUGUGAGAGAGAGUGUGUUGGAUUAUUCACAAAGCCAAUAGUAUCUCUGCUGUGUAUAUGUAUUGGAUUAUUGUUCAUUUUGUAGAGAAAGGACCAGCUGAGUGUGAGACGUUAUACCCUAAGACUCUCUGCAUAUUCUUUAUCUUUAGCUCUCUCUCACUUAGUUUGAGCAUGACUAACCAUCCAUGUCCACAAAACGGUGACAAAGAAAAAAGAGAAAACAUGGAGAGAAGAAAAGAGGAGCUACAAGCUACAAUUGAGAAGCAGGAUGAUCGUGUAAACCAUCUUCAAACGAGUGCCUUCAACCUUGCAAACUACUACAUUGUCUUCCAAGGAGUUAUUUUGGGGGCUAUCGUCAACGCCACCACAGCCCUCCGAUGCUCAGAUCGUUGGUUCCUUUUCAGCCUCUCUCUAAUAGCAGCCAUACUCAAUCUGGUUUCAUUGCUUGUAAUUGGAGGCAAUUAUAAAAGAAGCGUCAUGCAGAGACACCAUACCAAGAGUGCGCACAUUAAAUUGGAAAACGAUCUGGGGAAGCUAGAAACUUCAUCUUCAGAUCACGGGCUCAAAACUAAUAUAUUAUCGUACUGGGAGUCGACAAAAAUUGAAGCUUCAGGGCAUGUUACUUGUCAAGAUCCUACAACUGUUGAAAUUAAGGAUGAACCGGAACAAAGGCAGAUCAGGAAGCGGGUUGUGCCGGUUGAUAAUCUUCACAAACAGCUGCGUGAUUUCUACUUUCUACUUUGCACGGGUCUCUUUGUAUCCUUUGCCGUCAUCGUGGUUGUGGGUUGCUGGACCAUUCCUUGCAAGGAAGCUUUUCAAUGCAUACCACCCGUAUCCAGCACUGGGAAAUGCAUUAGGGUUUGUGAAGGUGCCAAGUGUAUGAGCAUGUGCACCGAAUAGUAGAGCUUACAAGAGUUCUAGCCUUGAGCUGGGGUUAUCCAAGUUGAUUAGUAC